rnacentral:rRNA from 1 species
AUGUAUCAUGCACCACCGCCAGCUCCAUACGUCACCAACUACAUGCACAUGGAGUCUCCGUUGACUUAUCAGGCACCACCACUAGCUCCAUACAUCACUCACAACAUGGACUUGGGGUCUUCGAUGAUGUAUUCAACAGCAUCACCAGCUCCCUAUGUCACUAGUGGCAUGGACAUGGGGCCUCCCACGAUGUUUAAGGCUCCGACACAGCAACAAGAGGAUUCACUUGACAUGAUGAGGUAUGGAGGAGACCUCAAGGCCCUGGUCUAUAGUGGCUACAAUUCUAGUGGCCGUAAUGACACCAGCACAAGCACCGUCUUCCCUAGCGGUGAUAUUCACCCAAAGAGGUCGUUUGAGGUGGGGUUCAGUUGGCAGUUCGGUGGCGCUGAUCCUGAAGCGUCUUCUUCAAGUCCUUUCCUCCCAAUGUAA